CUCGAUACAAUAAAGUAGACCUACUAAAGUAAGGUUAGGCAGUAUAGAAGGGAAAAGGUGAAUAGCAAAGUUUUUACUGAAAGGUAGCAUUAAUAAGUAAUAAUCACAAUGAGAAAAAAUUCACAAGUUCAUAGGAGUUAUAUAUAAAAGGCGACCCCUGUAGCUGGAAUAGUAGUCAAUAGAAGAGCGGUUUUAGGUAUAUGGUGUAAAUUAUACAAACCGUACUGAUCAUUAUGC